rnacentral:rRNA from 1 species
UACGUAGGUGGCAAGCGUUGUCCGGAAUUAUUGGGCGUAAAGCGCGCGCAGGCGGUCCUUUAAGUCUGAUGUGAAAGCCCACGGCUCAACCGUGGAGGGUCAUUGGAAACUGGGGGACUUGAGUACAGAAGAGAAGAGUGGAAUUCCACGUGUAGCGGUGAAAUGCGUAGAGAUGUGGAGGAACACCAGUGGCGAAGGCGACACGCUGGGCCGUACCUGACACUGAUGCGCGACAGCAUGGGGAGCAAACAGG